rnacentral:rRNA from 1 species
GAUGAACGCUGGCGGCGUGCUUAACACAUGCAAGUCGAACGGGAAUUAUUUUAUUGAAACUUCGGUCGAUAUGAUUUAAUUCUAGUGGCGGACGGGUGAGUAACGCGUGGGUAACCUGCCUUGUACAGGGGGAUAACAGUCAGAAAUGGCUGCUAAUACCGCAUAAGCGCACAGAGCUGCAUGGCUCCGUGUGAAAAACUACGGUGGUAUAAGAUGGACCCGCGUUGGAUUAGCUUGUUGGCAGGGUAACGGCCUACCAAGGCGACGAUCCAUAGCCGGCCUGAGAGGGUGAACGGCCACAGUGGGACUGAGACACGGCCCAGACUCCUACGGGAGGCAGCAGUGGGGAAUAUUGCACAAUGGGGGAAACCCUGAUGCAGCGACGCCGCGUGAAGGAAGAAGUAUCUCGGUAUGUAAACUUCUAUCAGCAGGGAAGAGAUUGACGGUACCUGACUAAGAAGCCCCGGCUAACUACGUG